rnacentral:rRNA from 1 species
UACAGAGGGUGCGAGCGUUAAUCGGAAUUACUGGGCGUAAAGCGUGCGUAGACGGCUAUCUAAGUCGGGUGUGAAAGCCCCGGGCUCAACCUGGGAAUUGCAUUCGAGACUGAAUAGCUAGGGUACGGUAGAGGGAAGCGGAAUUUCCGGUGUAGCGGUGAAAUGCGUAGAUAUCAGGAGGAACACCGGUGGCGAAGGCGGCCCUCUGGACGGUGACUGACGCUGAGACGCGAAAGCGUGGGGAGCAAACAGG